rnacentral:rRNA from 1 species
UGGGGAAUAUUGGACAAUGGGCGAAAGCCUGAUCUAGCCAUGCCGCGUGUGUGAAGAAGGUCUUCGGAUUGUAAAGCACUUUAAGUUGGGAGGAAGGGUUGUAGAUUAAUACUCUGCAAUUUUGACGUUACCGACAGAAUAAGCACCGGCUAACUCUGUGCCAGCAGCCGCGGUAAUACAGAGGGUGCAAGCGUUAAUCGGAAUUACUGGGCGUAAAGCGCGCGUAGGUGGUUUGUUAAGUUGGAUGUGAAAUCCCCGGGCUCAACCUGGGAACUGCAUUCAAAACUGACUGACUAGAGUAUGGUAGAGGGUGGUGGAAUUUCCUGUGUAGCGGUGAAAUGCGUAGAUAUAGGAAGGAACACCAGUGGCGAAGGCGACCACCUGGACUAAUACUGACACUGAGGUGCGAAAGCGUGGGGAGCAAACAGGAUUAGAUACCCCCGUAGUCCCUGAGCGGGCUGGCAAGGCGCAU